CUCCUUUCUCCCUCCUCUCUCCUCUCGCUCUCUCCUCUCUUCCUCCUUUCUCCCUCCUCUCGCUCUCUUUCUCCUCUCGCUCUCUUCCUCCUCUCGCUCUCUUCCUCCUUUCUCCCUCCUCUCUUCCUCCUCUCGCUCUCUCCCCCUCUCUUGUAGCUAUGACACUAGUUGAGCUGCUGUUGAGCUGCUGUCGAAUGGCUCACAAAAGCUUCAGUAGUUAAUUACAUGAUCAAUAUUCAGAAAGGUGUUAUCAAGGCAGAAAUGUUUCAGUUUAACAUGUUACACUGAACUGUCAUUGUCCUGCAUGUUACGUUCUCCAGACGCUGCAUCUAAUCAUUCAUGAUCUACUAACAGUAUGCAUUUGAUUGAUUUCCAAUACACAGGCAAGAGCUGAAACCCAGGAGUCAUCGAUGAUUAUAUUUUUAUAACAAUGCAGCAUUUCAAACUUAUUUAUUAGAUAUUCUUAUAGAAUAUAUUUGGUUAUCUUGUAAAAUACAAGAUAAAAGAGCUUUAAGUCAAAACAUUUUUGCUUCAUAUGUUCCCCUCAGAUAUCAGUUAGUUUAGUCUAACGUUAAUCUAUUCCACGACACACGUCCUCCUCAUGCUUGCUGUGCGCCAUAGCCAGGGGACGAAGUUCAUCUGUUAGUUUUCAAUGAUAUUCAAUGUGUGUUCAGAUGCAAAUUAUUUUUUGCCUUUUCGUUUUGUAAAAGCUUGAGUGCUAAAAGUGGAUACACUUUCUGUAUGAAACUGAAGAAUUGUAUGUAACUUGAAUGCUAACACAAAGAUAACCAACCAAAAACACCUUAUGUUCUGAUGCCAAGGAGACAUGUUCAUUUUGUGCCUGUAGCACAAAGAGACCAGUGUACUUUAGUGCCUGUCUGCAAUUCUGCUUACUUUAGUUAAUAAACCUGACAUUUAACCUUUUACUCGUCUAUUUAGGUAAUCAUUCAUUACUUUGAACAUGCAACACCAUUAACCAUGUGAAAAGAAGUUUAAGAUUCAAGACUUGUAUAAAGAAUUUGUUUGUAUCGUGUGCAUAACUACUGUAACCAUUUACUCAAUAAAAUAAGAAAUGUGUAUAAAUAUCUUUGUAAAAACUAGAAAUUGUAAGUGUACAAUAAAACAAGAGUGUAUGCU
ensembl:lncRNA